rnacentral:tRNA from 1 species
GCGGAUGUAGCCCAGCUGAUCAAGGCAGUGGAUUGUGAUCACCCAUAUGCCCGAA